ACUCAAAUGAAUAGACGGGGGUCCGCACAAGCGGUGGAACAUGUGGUUUAAUUCGACACUACGCGAGGAACCUUACCUGGGUUUGACAUGUAAUCGCUACUGGUAGAAAUAUUGGGUUCCGUAGCAAUACGGACGGUUACACAGGUGCUGCAUGGCUGUCGUCAGCUCGUGUCGUGAGACGUCGGGUUAAGUCCUUGAACGAGCGCAACCCUUGCUGAUAGUUGCCAGCCGUAAGGCGGCACUCUAUCGGGACUGCCGUGGAAACACGGAGGAAGGUGGGGAUGACGUCAAGUCCGCAUGGCCCUUAUACCCAGGGCUACACACGUGUUACAAUGGCGAGGAACAAAGGGAAAGCGAAGCCGCGAGGUGGAGCAAAUCCUGUAAAAUUCGUCUAAGUUCAGAUUGUAGUCUGCAACCCGACUACAUGAAGUUGAAAUCGCUAGUAAUCGCAUAUCAGAACGAUGCGGUGAAUACGUUCUCGGACCUUGCACACACCGCCCGU
rnacentral:rRNA from 1 species